AUGAACGCUAGCGGCAGGCUUAACACAUGCAAGUCGAGGGGCGAACACGGGUAGCAAUACCUGGUGGCGACCGGCGGCAAGGGUGCGUAACGCGUGAGCAACAUGCCCUAUACAGGGGGAUAAUCCAGGGAAACUUGGUCUAAUAUCCCAUAGUAUUUAGAGGUGGCAUCACCACUAAAUUAAAGCUUCGGUGGUAUAGGAUUGGCUCGCGUGACAUUAGCUGGAUGGUGGGGUAACGGCUCACCAUGGCGAUGAUGUCUAGGGGUUCUGAGAGGAAGACCCCCCACACUGGGACUGAGACACGGACCAGACUCCUACGGGAGGCAGCAGUGAGGAAUAUUGGUCAAUGGGCGCAAGCCUGAACCAGCCAUCCCGCGUGCAGGAAGACGGCGCUAUGCGUUGUAAACUGCUUUUCCAGGGAGAGAAACUUGCGCACGUGUUGCGCAAUUGACGGUACCCUGGGAAUAAGCAUCGGCUAACUCCGUG
rnacentral:rRNA from 1 species